rnacentral:rRNA from 1 species
CGGGUGAGUAACACGUGGAUAACCUACCUAUAAGACUGGGAUAACUUCGGGAAACCGGAGCUAAUACCGGAUAAUAUUUUGAACCGCAUGGUUCAAAAGUGAAAGACGGUCUUGCUGUCACUUAUAGAUGGAUCCGCGCUGCAUUAGCUAGUUGGUAAGGUAACGGCUUACCAAGGCAACGAUGCAUAGCCGACCUGAGAGGGUGAUCGGCCACACUGGAACUGAGACACGGUCCAGACUCCUACGGGAGGCAGCAGUAGGGAAUCUUCCGCAAUGGGCGAAAGCCUGACGGAGCAACGCCGCGUGAGUGAUGAAGGUCUUCGGAUCGUAAAACUCUGUUAUUAGGGAAGAACAUAUGUGUAAGUAACUGUGCACAUCUUGACGGUACCUAAUCAGAAAGCCACGGCUAACUACGUGCCAGCAGCCGCGGUAAUACGUAGGUGGCAAGCGUUAUCCGGAAUUAUUGGGCGUAAAGCGCGCGUAGGCGGUUUUUUAAGUCUGAUGUGAAAGCCCACGGCUCAACCGUGGAGGGUCAUUGGAAACUGGAAAACUUGAGUGCAGAAGAGGAAAGUGGAAUUCCAUGUGUAGCGGUGAAAUGCGCAGAGAUAUGGAGGAACACCAGUGGCGAAGGCGACUUUCUGGUCUGUAACUGACGCUGAUGUGCGAAAGCGUGGGGAUCAAACAGGAUUAGAUACCCUGGUAGUCCACGCCGUAAACGAUGAGUGCUAAGUGUUAGGGGGUUUCCGCCCCUUAGUGCUGCAGCUAACGCAUUAAGCACUCCGCCUGGGGAGUACGACCGCAAGGUUGAAACUCAAAGGAAUUGACGGGGACCCGCACAAGCGGUGGAGCAUGUGGUUUAAUUCGAAGCAACGCGAAGAACCUU